rnacentral:piRNA from 1 species
UGCCACCGGAAAGCUAUGUAACCUUCAAUUG